UAAACUAGGGAUAGAUACCCUAUUAUUUUAAGAAUAAUUUUAAAAUUUUAAGUAGUAAUAGUUAAAGUCUUGAAACUUAAAAAAUUUGGCGGUAUUUUAGUCUUUUCAGAGGAACUUGUUUUUUAAUCGAUAAUCCUCGUUAAACCUUACUUUGAUUUGUUUACAGUAUAUAUACCGUCGUUAUUAGAAUAUUUUAUAAGAAAAUUAAUUUUCUAAAAAUUUUAUUAGUUUGUAUAUCAGAUCAAGGUGUAGCUAAUAUUAAAGUAAAAAUGAGUUACAAUAAAUUUAUUUAAAUGAAUAUAAUAAUGAAAUUUAUUAUUGAAAGUGGAUUUGAUAGUAAAUUUAUAAAUGAUAAUAAAUUGAUUUUAGCUCUAAAAUAUGUACACAUCGCCCG
rnacentral:rRNA from 1 species